GACGAACGCUGGCGGCGUGCUUAACACAUGCAAGUCGAGCGGUAAGGCCCUUUCGGGGGUACACGAGCGGCGAACGGGUGAGUAACACGUGGGUGACCUGCCCUCAGCUCUGGGAUAAGCCUGGGAAACCGGGUCUAAUACUGGNUAUGACUCCAUGACGCAUGUUGUGGGGUGGAAAGCCUUGUGCGGCUGAGGAUGGGCCCGCGGCCUAUCAGCUUGUUGGUGGGGUGANGGGCCUACCAAGGCGGCGACGGGUAGCCGGCCUGAGAGGGCGACCGGCCACACUGGGACUGAGACACGGCCCAGACUCCUACGGGAGGCAGCAGUGGGGAAUCUUGCGCAAUGGGCGAAAGCCUGACGCAGCGACGCCGCGUGAGGA
rnacentral:rRNA from 1 species